GUUUGUGCCUUUCUGGCCUCGGAGGACAGCUGCUACAUCACCGGAGCCAGCCUGGAGGUGACCGGGGGUCUUUUCAUCUGACCAGCCGUCUCCGUUUCUCCGAAGCAAAAUAUCUCACUCCCUAAAUUGCACCAAAUAAAUGCACACCAGAAGAAAGGAGACCCCCGCUUUCUCCCUGAAGGCCACACUCUCUGGCCCAAGGAAGGAUUUUGGGGGGUGGUCCGUCCAUGGGGCCAUGCCUCGGCUAGACACCUUUUAAUGCAAAUCAGAUUUUAUUGCAAGACAUUUGAAUUAUUCUAAGGCAAGGAAGCUCAGAGGCCGGACCCUGGGCUUAUCCUCCAGGAUGGACAUUUAAUAAGAAAGAAAAGAGAACGUGUUUGGUCAUGUUGGGGGUCACCAGCUUGAUUUUUGCACUUUGGGGGUCGCCUAUUUUUCAGGUUUUGGGGGGUUUUCCUGAACUUGCCAAAAACGCGAAAGAGGCAGGAACCGACUCCGGCUGCGGAGGCAGCAAAGGGAAUUGUUUUAAUUAUCUGCGUGCCUUUGGAAUGGAUGGGCAAUGAGUUAAUUGUAUUCAAAUAAAUGUGAAUUCAGAAGAAGGAAA